CUACGGGGUGCUCCAGUCGCGGAACUUUUACAAUGCACGCAAGUGUGAUAAAGCAAGCCAAAGUGCUUUUCGUUUAGAAAAGCUUUUUCUCGGCGUAAAAACCCGGGAGAAUAAGGACUGGGAAAGACUGGUGCCAGCCGCCGCGGUAAUACCAGCAGUUCAAGUUGCAUCCCUUUUUAUUGGGUCUAAAACAUCCGUAGCUUGCCGUUUAAGUCUCUUGUGAAAUCCUACGUCUCAAGCGUAGCGAAGUGCAGGAGAUACUGGGCGGCUAGAGAUCGGUAGACGUAAGAAGUACGCGACGGGUAACGGUCAAAUGUGUUAAUCCGUCGUGGACUAACAAUGAGCGAAGGCAUCUUACGAGGACGAAUCUGACAGUGAGGGAUGAAGGCCAGGGGCGCAAAACGGAUUAGAUACCCUGGUAGUC
rnacentral:rRNA from 1 species